UCCUAGGUGGUCCAGUGGUUAGGACUUGGCAUUUUCACUUCCAUGGCCCUGGGUUCAAUCCCUGGUCUGGGAA